UACGGAGGAUGCAAGCGUUAUCCGGAAUGAUUGGGCGUAAAGCGUCCGCAGGUGGCAAUGUAAGUCUGCUGUCAAAGCGUCUGGCUCAACCAGAUAAAGGCAGUGGAAACUACAUAGCUAGAGUAAGGUAGGGGUAGAGGGAAUUCCUGGUGUAGCGGUGAAAUGCGUAGAGAUCAGGAAGAACACCGGUGGCGAAGGCGGUUCUCUGGGCCUUACCUGACGCUGAGGAGCGAAAGCGUGGGGAGCAAACAGG
rnacentral:rRNA from 1 species